CAGGCCUAACACAUGCAAGUCGAGCGGACUUAUCCUUCGGGAUAGGUUAGCGGCGGACGGGUGAGUAACACGUAGGCAACCUGCCUGUAAGAUCGGGAUAACUACCGGAAACGGUAGCUAAGACCGGAUAGCUGGUUUCUCCGCAUGGGGGAAUCAUGAAACAUGGGGCAACCUGUGGCUUACGGAUGGGCCUGCGGCGCAUUAGCUAGUUGGUGGGGUAAUGGCCCACCAAGGCGACGAUGCGUAGCCGACCUGAGAGGGUGAUCGGCCACACUGGGACUGAGACACGGCCCAGACUCCUACGGGAGGCAGCAGUAGGGAAUCUUCCGCAACGGGCGCAAGCCUGACGGAGCAACGCCGCGUGAGUGAUGAAGGUUUUCGGAUCGUAAAGCUCUGUUGCCAAGGAAGAACGCCUCGGAGAGUAACUGCUCUGAGGGUGACGGUACUUGAGAAGAAAGCCCCGGCUAACUACGUGCCAGCAGCCGCGGUAAUACGUAGGGGGCAAGCGUUGUCCGGAAUUAUUGGGCGUAAAGCGCGCGCAGGCGGUCUUUUAAGUUUGGUGUUUAAGCCCGGGGCUCAACCCCGGUUCGCACUGAAAACUGGGAGACUUGAGUGCAGGAGAGGAAAGCGGAAUUCCACGUGUAGCGGUGAAAUGCGUAGAGAUGUGGAGGAACACCAGUGGCGAAGGCGGCUUUCUGGACUGUAACUGACGCUGAGGCGCGAAAGCGUGGGGAGCAAACAGGAUUAGAU
rnacentral:rRNA from 1 species